rnacentral:rRNA from 1 species
GGAGGAUCCAAGCGUUAUCCGGAAUUAUUGGGUUUAAAGGGUCCGCAGGCGGUUUGUUAAGUCAGAGGUGAAAUCCCCUAGCUCAACGGUAGAACUGCCUUUGAUACUGGCAAACUUGAGUUAUUGUGAAGUAGUUAGAAUGUGUAGUGUAGCGGUGAAAUGCAUAGAUAUUACACAGAAUACCGAUUGCGAAAGCAGAUUACUAACAAUAUACUGACGCUGAGGGACGAAAGCGUGGGUAGCGAACAGGAUUAGAUACCCUGGUAGUCCACGCCGUAAACGAUGGUCACUAGCUGUUCGAUGUACAUUGGUACGUUGAGUGGCUAAGCGAAAGUGAUAAGUGACCCA